CCUACGGGAGGCAGCAGUGAGGAAUAUUGGUCAAUGGACGAGAGUCUGAACCAGCCAAGUAGCGUGAAGGAUGACUGCCCUAUGGGUUGUAAACUUCUUUUAUAUGGGAAUAAAACGUUCCACGUGUGGGAUUUUGUAUGUACCAUAUGAAUAAGGAUCGGCUAACUCCGUGCCAGCAGCCGCGGUAAUACGGAGGAUCCGAGCGUUAGCCGGAUUUAUUGGGUUUAAAGGGAGCGUAGGUGGAUUGUUAAGGCAGUUGUGAAAGUUUGCGGCUCAACCGUAAAAUUGCAGUUGAAACUGGCAGUCUUGAGUACAGUAGAGGUGGGCGGAAUUCGUGGUGUAGCGGUGAAAUGCUUAGAUAUCACGAAGAACUCCGAUUGCGAAGGCAGUUCACUGGACUGCAACUGACACUGAGGCUCGAAAGUGUGGGUAUCAAACAGGAUUAGAUACCCUAGUAGUC
rnacentral:rRNA from 1 species